UACGUAGGGGGCAAGCGUUGUCCGGAAUCAUUGGGCGUAAAGCGCGUGUAGGCGGCCCGGUAAGUCCGCUGUGAAAGUCCAGGGCUCAACCCUGGAAUGCCGGUGGAUACUGUCGGGCUCGAGUCCGGAAGAGGCGAGUGGAAUUCCUGGUGUAGCGGCGAAAUGCGCAGAUAUCAGGAGGAACACCGAUGGCGAAGGCAGCUCGCUGGGACGGUACUGACGCUGAGACGCGAAAGCGUGGGGAGCAAACAGG
rnacentral:rRNA from 1 species